rnacentral:Y_RNA from 1 species
CGUUCGUCUGAAAGUCGUGAGUUAUCUCAAAUGACUGUUCACAGUUACAGAUUGAACUCCUGGUUCUACUCUUUCACUCCUCACUUCUGAACUUGACUAGUCUUAA